AUACGUAGGGUGCAAGCGUUAAUCGGAAUUACUGGGCGUAAAGCGUGCGCAGGCGGUUUUGUAAGACAGUGGUGAAAUCCCCGGGCUCAACCUGGGAACUGCCAUUGGGACUGCAAGGCUGGAGUGCGGCAGAGGGGGGUGGAAUUCCGCGUGUAGCAGUGAAAUGCGUAGAUAUGCGGAGGAACACCGAUGGCGAAGGCAAUCCCCUGGGCCUGCACUGACGCUCAUGCACGAAAGCGUGGGGAGCAAACAGGAUUAGAUACCCUGGUAGUCCACGCCCUAAACGAUGUCAACUGGUUGUUGGGGAUUUAUUUUCUCAGUAACGAAGCUAACGCGUGAAGUUGACCGCCUGGGGAGUACGGCCGCAAGGUUAAAACUCAAAUGAAUUGACGGGG
rnacentral:rRNA from 1 species